CUGGAAGCCUGUGGAUGGGAAAAUGCUUGCAAGGACAUUUAUUCCCUGGGCCAUUCAAUCUGAGUUAAGCUGAAAUUGGGUAUCAAUCUGAUGGUUUCCAAACUCCUACAGAAUAACAAAGCCAGACCCAG